rnacentral:rRNA from 1 species
AGAGUUUGAUCCUGGCUCAGGAUGAACGCUGGCGGCGUGCUUAACACAUGCAAGUCGAACGGGGAACAUUUUAUGGAAACUUCGGUGGAAAUAGCUUGUUCCUAGUGGCGGACGGGUGAGUAACGCGUGGGUAACCUGCCUCACACUGGGGGAUAACAGUCAGAAAUGACUGCUAAUACCGCAUAAGCGCACGGGAUUGCAUGAUCCAGUGUGAAAAACUCCGGUGGUGUGAGAUGGACCCGCGUUGGAUUAGCCAGUUGGCAGGGUAACGGCCUACCAAAGCGACGAUCCAUAGCCGGCCUGAGAGGGUGGACGGCCACAUUGGGACUGAGACACGGCCCAGACUCCUACGGGAGGCAGCAGUGAGGAAUAUUGCACAAUGGGGGAAACCCUGAUGCAGCGACGCCGCGUGAAGGAAGAAGUAUCUCGGUAUGUAAACUUCUAUCAGCAGGGAAGAAAAUGACGGUACCUGACUAAGAAGCCCCGGCUAACUACGUGCCAGCAGCCGCGGUAAUACGUAGGGGGCAAGCGUUAUCCGGAUUUACUGGGUGUAAAGGGAGCGUAGACGGAGCAGCAAGUCUGAUGUGAAAGGCGGGGGCUCAACCCCUGGACUGCAUUGGAAACUGUUGAUCUUGAGUACCGGAGAGGUAAGCGGAAUUCCUAGUGUAGCGGUGAAAUGCGUAGAUAUUAGGAGGAACACCAGUGGCGAAGGCGGCUUACUGGACGGUAACUGACGUUGAGGCUCGAAAGCGUGGGGAGCAAACAAAAUUAGAUACCCUGGUAGUCCACGCCGUAAACG